AUCCUAGAAGGGCCACAGUGCAC
rnacentral:piRNA from 1 species